GUUGUAUUCCCUGGCCAUGUUUUGAGUUGUUAGGAGAAGAAGACCCUAAAAUCUGUCAGCACUAUGUCCACGCGCCAAAUGAAGUGGAGGUUGAGUUUGUAAAUGAGCUAAACCCCAAGUCUGACACCAUUGUUGUCUCCUGGAAGCCCAGCUACUAUGGGAUUGCGUUCCUGCGAGGCUUCCAGGUGUUGCUACAGGCUUUGGGAGGGACUAGUGUUACCUGUCACCUCUUUCUCUUCCACCGUAACGUCUCCCUCCCGGCUUCACAUGCUCAAAGGGUGUACAAGUCAGACCCUUUCCCCGGCCUCUCCCUUGGGUCCCAGUAUGCUGUUACCGUCAUGGCUCUGCCUGUGCCUGAAGAGUGGGAGAGGUUCUACCACAGCAAGAUCUUCUCCACACGCUCAUGUGCAGAGAAGAACGGUCUUGAGCAGUGCAAAAAAGACUGGUACCCCAUAUAUAUUGAGGUCCAGCAGGAAGGGACUGCCAUCACUGUGACCUUCAACCUGGCGCCUCAAAACCUGGGCAUCAGAAGCUACUUCUCCCUGUGUUACACAAACGGCCUGAGGAAAUACACAGACAUCACACCUGUCAGUGAACUU
rnacentral:lncRNA from 1 species